UAAGAAAUUCUCCCCUGGGCAUCUGUUCACCUUCAAAGAGUGAAAGAAUAUAUAAUUACUGAAAAUAAGGCUGCAAGUCAAGGUUUUUAUGAAGUUAUGUUCAAAUACACCAUACGAUUUCAAGUUCGGCUGGAAGUUCCCACUGAAGUGAUUCCAUUACUUUGAACACCCGGACUAGUAGUCCAACAGUACAGUAGAUUUUCAACAGACCAAGCCAAAAUGAAGACAAAUGUGCAUUCAAGACCGAUCUGGGAAAUGAUAAUAGAGAAGCACAGAUCUGGAAAAAGGCUCUAUUGUGGAAAAAAGGAGCAUGAGAUACUCAUUUGUGUGAACAAAAGGAUGAGGUAUUCAGCCAAUACUUUUCCUAGGUACUGUACAUGGCAGCUGGGGAAAAUCUAUCACAUUCACAAGUGCUCUUCAAGUAAAGAAAAUCUGCUGUCCUGACCUAUUUUGUUCACAGAUGAACUCAAACAGUACCAUGUUGAUUUCAAAAAAAUCUAACACGUGAUUCAAUUUUGUCAAAAACCACAGUGUAUACAAGUAAAUAAAUUAGCUCAGAUUGCCCAGUUUCAAUGUAUGCACUGGUUUCUGAUUAAGCCAACUAACAAUGUCCUCCUCAAAGCAUCUAAAGACUGGUGACAAAAUUGCGAGAGCUGCCCACAGAUUAGUAAGGCAAUAGCUAGUAGGAGUCUUGUAUGCAUAAUCAGAUAUCCUGUCUCCAAAAUCUUUACAAUCCUCAGUUAUGUCUUACUCCAAUAGGAUUGGUUGAAAAUCACUAAAUAGAGGAAAGGGAAACCUGAAAAUCUAACAUUAACACUGAGCAUCAUGAAGUCUCAUUGCAUUACACUAAAUAGUACUAGAAGCAUGAACAUUUCGAGUCAAGUAAGAUGUUCUCCUUAAGGGUUGUCUUUGGUGGAUUCCUCAGGUGGCUGUAGAGGCUGAGCUGGGAUCCACAUAUUCUGGUGCAAUGAAGGCACAAGUAAGUGGUGGCAAUGGUUAGUAGUUGAGUCUUUUGGUUGUUCAGUCUCUUCUUUUGUAGCUUCACCUCACACAAAAUAACUUCCUGUUGAUUGCAAUCUAUAAUCCUCCCACAGCUGACAAAUCCACAUUUCUUCUUGUUCAGUAACAUUUUACAAAGCAUAGAGAAAGAGAUGCACAGAAAAUACUGUGAAUGUGAAAUUUCAACAGGAGUAGCUCAGUAGCAAUACUUCUAGCUCAACUAGCCAAAUCCUCCUGCUUAAUGGUCUAUUGCGGUGCAGACUCGAGGGGCCGAAUGGUCUACUUCUGCACCUAUUGUCUAUUGUCUAUUGCAGUUGGGAGUGAACCAUCAUGAAUAAUAAACCUAGCCUCCUCUUCACUAAUCCACUUGCUGUAGACACACACCUAAUGACAAUAAGGAUAAAUGUGAAUUUAUGGAGACUUAAGACAAACAAUCAAGGGGCCACUUUAUUAGGUAUACCUGCAAACCUGUUUGUUAAUGCAAAUAUCAGCCAAUCAUGUGGCAGCAACUCAAUGCAUAAAAGUAUGCAGAUAUGGACAAGAGGUUAACUUAUUAUUCAGUCCAAACUUCAGAAUGGGGAAGAAAUGCGAUAUCGGUGACUUUGACCAUAGCAUGAUUGUUGGUGCCAGAUAAGAUAGUUUGAGUUUCUCAGAAACUGCUGAUCUCUUGGAAUUUUCACACACAAGUCUCUAGAACUUGUAGAGAAAGCUGCGAGACACAAAAAAACAUCCAGUGAGCAGCAGUUCUGUGGAUGAAAAUGCCUUGUUAAUGAGAGAGGUCAGAGGAGAAUGACCAGACUGGUUCAUCCUGACGUGAGGUCAAUAAUAACUCAAAUAGCCAUAUAUUACAACAGUGGUGUGCAGAAGAGCAUCUCUGAACACACAUGUUGAACCUUGAAGUGGAUGGGCUACAGCAGCAGUAGACCAUGAACAUAUACUCAGUGGUCACUUUAUUAGGUACAGGAAAUAAAUUCUGUAGAGUGAAUAGGAAUAUAUUCAACAACAGGCAUACCUAAAAAUGAGGUUCCACCCUGGGAAUGCUACAACACAGGACUAGCUGACAGUAAGCAUUAAAGCAGCAUUUCUUGUUUAUCCAUGUUUCAGGAUCUCGGCUUUGCUGCCAAGGUCAGUACUUAUUGGCCAUCCUUUGUUGCCCUAUGGAGGUGGUUAUGAGCUGCCAACUUGAACUGCUGUUGCCUUUUAUUUGAAGGCACUCCCACAACAGAUUCAGAGUACCAAGAUAUGGGCCCAAAACGUAUGAAGACCAGCAACAUAUCUUCAAAUAUGAACUUGGAGGGAAACCUGCAUGUGGUAGUCUUCCCUUACGUAUCUUGCUUUUGCCCUCUUUGAUGGCAGAGUUGGAAGGUUUCAAAGAUGCUGUCAGAGUGGCCAAGGCAAGUAAAUACAAUGCAUUUUACAGACUGCAGAGACUCCAGCCAUUAUGUGCCAAUGGUGAAGGGAAUAAAUGUUUUAGUUGUGGAUAAGGUGUCAGUCAAGC